rnacentral:rRNA from 1 species
AUUGAACGCUGGCGGCAGGCCUAACACAUGCAAGUCGAACGGUAACAGGAAGAAGCUUGCUUCUUUGCUGACGAGUGGCGGACGGGUGAGUAAUGUCUGGGAAACUGCCUGAUGGAGGGGGAUAACUACUGGAAACGGUAGCUAAUACCGCAUAACGUCGCAAGACCAAAGAGGGGGACCUUCGGGCCUCUUGCCAUCGGAUGUGCCCAGAUGGGAUUAGCUAGUAGGUGGGGUAACGGCUCACCUAGGCGACGAUCCCUAGCUGGUCUGAGAGGAUGACCAGCCACACUGGAACUGAGACACGGUCCAGACUCCGACGGGAGGCAGCAGUGGGGAAUAUUGCACGAUGGGCGCAAGCCUGAUGCAGCCAUGCCGCGUGUAUGAAGAAGGCCUUCGGGUUGUAAAGUACUUUCAGCGGGGAGGAAGGGAGUAAAGUUAAUACCUUUGCUCAUUGACGUUACCCGCAGAAGAAGCACCGGCUAACUCCGUG